GUGCUCACUUCAGCAGCAUGUAUAUUAAAAUUGGGAACAAUACAGAGAUUAGCAUGACUCCUUCCCAAGAAAAACAUGUAAAUUUAUGAAGUGUUCCAUUUUUUA